rnacentral:rRNA from 1 species
GGCUCAGGACGAACGCUGGCGGCGUGCCUAAUACAUGCAAGUCGAGCGGACAGAUGGGAGCUUGCUCCCUGAUGUCAGCGGCGGACGGGUGAGUAACAAGGGGGUAACCUGCCUGGAAGGCUGGGAAAACUUCGGGAAACCGGGGGUAAUUCCGGAAGGUUGAAUGAACCGCCAGGUUCAAUUAUUAAAAGGGGGUUUUAGCUACCACUUACAGAUGGACCCGCGGCGCAUUAGCUAGUUGGUGAGGUAACGGCUCACCAAGGCAACGAUGCGUAGCCGACCUGAGAGGGUGAUCGGCCACACUGGGACUGAGACACGGCCCAGACUCCUACGGGAGGCAGCAGUAGGGAAUCUUCCGCAAUGGACGAAAGUCUGACGGAGCAACGCCGCGUGAGUGAUGAAGGUUUUCGGAUCGUAAAACUCUGUUGUUAGGGAAGAACAAGUACCGUUCGAAUAGGGCGGUACCUUGACGGUACCUAACCAGAAAGCCACGGCUAACUACGUGCCAGCAGCCGCGGUAAUACGUAGGUGGCAAGCGUUGUCCGGAAUUAUUGGGCGUAAAGCGCGCGCAGGCGGUUUCUUAAGUCUGAUGUGAAAGCCCCCGGCUCAACCGGGGAGGGUCAUUGGAAACUGGGGAACUUGAGUGCAGAAGAGGAGAGUGGAAUUCCACGUGUAGCGGUGAAAUGCGUAGAGAUGUGGAGGAACACCAGUGGCGAAGGCGACUCUCUGGUCUGUAACUGACGCUGAGGCGCGAAAGCGUGGGGAGCGAACAGGAUUAGAUACCCUGGUAGUCCACGCCGUAAACGAUGAGUGCUAAGUGUUAGAGGGUUUCCGCCCUUUAGUGCUGCAGCAAACGCAUUAAGCACUCCGCCUGGGGAGUACGGUCGCAAGACUGAAACUCAAAGGAAUUGACGGGGGCCCGCACAAGCGGUGGAGCAUGUGGUUUAAUUCGAAGCAACGCGAAGAACCUUACCAGGUCUUGACAUCCUCUGACCACCCUAGAGAUAGGGCUUCCCCUUCGGGGCAGAGUGACGGUGGUGCAUGGUUGUCGUCGCUCGUGUCGUGAGAUGUUGGGUUAGUCCCGCACGAGCGCACCCUUGAUCUUAGUUGCCACAUUCGUUGGGCACUCUAGGUGACUGCCGGGACAACCGGAGGAAGGGGGAUGACGUCAAUCAUCAUGCCCUUAUGACUGGGCUCCAC